rnacentral:rRNA from 1 species
AUUGAACGCUAGCGGCAUGCCUUACACAUGCAAGUCGAACGGCAGCACGGGUGCUUGCACCUGGUGGCGAGUGGCGAACGGGUGAGUAAUAUAUCGGAACGUACCUUAUUGUGGGGGAUAACGCGGCGAAAGCUGUGCUAAUACCGCAUAAUCCCUAAGGGGGAAAGCGGGGGACCGUAAGGCCUCGCGCAAUUAGAGCGGCCGAUACCUGAUUAGCUAGUUGGUGAGGUAAAGGCUCACCAAGGCAACGAUCAGUAGCUGGUCUGAGAGGACGAUCAGCCACACUGGGACUGAGACACGGCCCAGACUCCUACGGGAGGCAGCAGUGGGGAAUUUUGGACAAUGGGGACAACCCUGAUCCAGCAAUGCCGCGUGAGUGAAGAAGGCCUUCGGGUUGUAAAGCUCUUUUGUCAGGGAAGAAACAGCAGCUCUAACACAGUAUGCGAAUGACGGUACCUGAAGAAUAAGCACCGGCUAACUACGUGCCAGCCGCCGCGGUAA